rnacentral:lncRNA from 1 species
GUGAGCGUGCGGUGGCGGGGCUCGGGCUGAUGGCUGCCGAAGAGUGGGUGCUGUUCGCUCGUGGGCACUCAGUCCGCAGCAGCCUGCAGGGGUGCGCGGGGAGCGUUGGGUCUCGGCUCUGCCCGUCUCUGGGGGACGGUCAGACACCACCUGGCCACACCAGGUAGUGCUAAGUAGGUGGGCUCAGUCCUGAUCCGAGGGCCGGAGUGGGGCUUCCCUGGCAGAGGACGUGCUUCGGAAGGGCCCGGGCUGAUGCUGGGUCAUCGCUGCGGCGGGUGGAGAUGUGUGGAGGCUGGAGAGAAGGGGCCAGGACAGGACCUUCCACAGUGCCACGUCCCGGUUCCCCAGCAUCCUGCCUGGCAGCGGACGGGCCGAGAUCUGGCCACGUGGAUUUUGUUCAGCCGCCCAGGGAGCUCUGGACCCAAGGCAGGGCGGAGCUCCCUCAGCCGUCCUGGAGUGAGGAGGGCAGAGCCGAGCGGAUGGCGCUCUGAUGGGGUUGGUGAGGCGGGAGACCCCCACAGGGCUCAGUCGAGGGGUAACGGAGACUUGGGGAAGAGGGGGUGUCACCGCAGAGGUGAGAGGGUUUGCAGGGAAGGUGGAAGCC